UACGUAGGGCGCGAGCGUUGUCCGGAAUUAUUGGGCGUAAAGAGCUCGUAGGCGGUUCGUCGCGUCGGCUGUGAAAACCUGAGGCUCAACCUCAGGCCUGCAGUCGAUACGGGCGGACUUGAGUACUGCAGGGGGAGACUGGAAUUCCUGGUGUAGCGGUGAAAUGCGCAGAUAUCAGGAGGAACACCGAUGGCGAAGGCACUCUACUGGGCCACUACUGACACUGAGAGACGAAAAGCUAGGGGGGAGCAAAAUGGGG
rnacentral:rRNA from 1 species